rnacentral:rRNA from 1 species
UCGUUAAGGAACUUUGCAAUCUAACCCCGUAACUUCGGAAGAAGGGGUCCCCACACUCUGUGUGGGGCGCAGUGAAUAGGCCCAGGCGACUGUUUACCAAAAUCACAGCACUCUGCCAACACGAACAGUGGACGUAUAGGGUGUGACGCCUGCCCGGUGCCGGAAGGUUAAUUGAUGGGGUUAGCGCAAGCGAAGCUCUUGAUCGAAGCCCCGGUAAACGGCGGCCGUAACAAUAACGGUCCUAAGGUAGCGAAAUUCCUUGUCGGGUAAGUUCCGACCCGCACGAAAGGCGUAAUGAUUUGGAUACUGUCUCGGAGAGGGGCUCGGUGAAAUAGACUUGUCUGUGAAGAUGCGGACUACCUGCACCAGGACAGAAAGACCCUAUGAAGCUUUACUGUAACUUGAAAUUGAAAUUGGACUUUAUUUGCGCAGUAUAGGUGGGAGGCGUUGAUAAUAUUCUUGCGGGAAUAUUGGAGCCAUCAGUGAGAUACCACUCUUGUAAUGUUAGAUUUCUAACUUUGAAUCAUUAUCUGGUCAAAGAACAGUUUCAGGCGGGCAGUUUGACUGGGGCGGUCGCCUCCCAAAUGGUAACGGAGGCGUACAAAGGUUUCCUCUGAACGUGUAGAAAUCGUAUCUAGAGUGUAAAGGCAUAAGGAAGCUUGACUGUGAGACUUACAAGUCGAGCAGGGACGAAAGUCGGUCUUAGUGAUCUGACGGUACUGAGUGGAAAGGCCGUCACUCAACGGAUAAAAGUUACUCUAGGGAUAACAGGCUGAUCUCCCCCAAGAGUUCACAUCGACGGGGAGGUUUGGCACCUCGAUGUCGGCUCAUCACAUCCUGGGGCUGAAGCCGGUCCCAAGGGUAUGGCUGUUCGCCAUUUAAAGUGGUACGCGAGCUGGGUUUAGAACGUCGUGAGACAGUUCGGUCCCUAUCUGCCGUGGACGUUUGAGAUUUGAGAGGGGCUGACCUUAGUACGAGAGGACCGGGUUGGACGAACCUCUGGUGUUCCGGUUGUCACGCCAGUGGCAUUGCCGGGUAGCUAUGUUCGGAAAAGAUAACCGCUGAAAGCAUCUAAGCGGGAAACUUGCCUCAAGAUGAGAUCUCACUGGAGCCUUGAGCUCCCUAAAGGGCCGUCGAAGACUACGACGUUGAUAGGUGGGGUGUGUAAGCGCUGUGAGGCGUUGAGCUAACCCAUACUAAUUGCCCGUGAGGCUUGACC